AUGUCUGACAUGGAGGAUGAUUUCAUGUGCGAUGAUGAGGAGGACUAUGACCUGGAAUACUCUGAAGAUAGUAACUCCGAGCCAAAUGUGGAUUUGGAAAAUCAGUACUAUAAUUCCAAAGUAUUAAAAGAAGAAGACCCAAAAGCAGCAUUAAGCAGUUUCCAAAAGGUUUUGGAACUUGAAGGUGAAAGAGGAGAAUGGGGAUUUAAAGCACUGAAACAAAUGGUUAAGAUUAACUUUAUUCAAGUUGACAAACUUUCCAGAAAUGAUGAAUAGAUAUAAACAGCUAUUGACCUAUAUUCAGAGUGCUGUCACAAGAAAUUAUUCUGAAAAAUUCAUUAAUUCUAUUCUUGAUUAUAUCUCUACUUCUAAACAGAUGGAUUUACUGCAGAAAUUCUAUGAAACAACUCUGGAAGUUUGAAAGAUGCUAAGAAUGAUAGACUGUGGUUUAAGACAAACACAAAACUUGGAAAAUUAUAUUUAGAACGAGAGGAGUAUGGAAAACUUCAAAAAAUUUUACACCAGUUAUAUCAGUCCUGCCAGACUGAUGAUGGAGAAGAUGGUCUGAAAAAGGGUGCACAGUUAUUAGAAAUAUAUGCUUUGGAAAUUCAGAUGUACACAGCACAGAAAAAUAACAAAAAAUCUAAAGCACUCUAUGAACAGUCACUUCACAUCAAGUCUGCCAUCCCUCAUCCACUGAUCAUGGGAGUUAUCAGAGAAUGUGGUGGUAAAAUGCACUUGAGAGAAGGUGAAUUUGAAAAGGCACACACUAAUUUUUUUGAAGCCUUCAAGAAUUAUGAUGAAUCUGGAAAUCUGAGACUAACUACUUGCUUAAAAUAUUUGGUCUUAGCAAAUAUGCUUAUGAAAUCAGGAAUAAAUCCAUUUGACUCACAGGAGGCAAAGCCGUACAAAAAUGAUCCAGAAAUUUUAGCAAUGACAAAUUUAGUAAAUGCCUAUCAGAAUAAUGACAUCACUGAAUUUGAAAAGAUUCUAAAAACAAAUCACAGCAACAUCAUGGAUGAUCCUUUUAUAAGAGAACACAUUGAAGAGGUUUUGUGAAACAUCAGAGCACAAGUGCUUAUAAAAUUAAUUAAACCUUACACAAGAAUACAUAUUCCUUUUAUUUCUAAGGAAUUAAACAUAGAUGUAGCGAUGUGGAGAGCUUGCUGGUGCAGUGCAUAUUGGAUAACACUAUUCAUGGCUGAAUUGAUCAAGUCAACCAGCUCCUUGAACUGGAUCAUCAGAAGAGGAGUGGUGCACGAUAUACUGCACUAGAUCAAUGGACCAACCAACUAAAUUCUCUCAACCAGGCUGUAGUCAGUAAACUGGCUUAACAGAGAACAGAUAUCCUCAAGGCAACAGUACAGAGAUGUAAUCCUUAAAAGAACUGGGAAUGGCAAAACUACUGUCAGUUGAUGUGUCCUGAAAAUUACUGGAGUUAUGGCAGAAGUGCUUUUUUUGAUCAACUGGUUUGUGUUUUGCUGCUGCAUUUAUCCCAAGAAAAACAGCUUUAAUCUCCAGAAGAAAACCAAAAUACCAUGGAAUUUAUGCUGUAUUGACAUCUUGCCCUAAACAUACAACAUGAUAGUAAUUUGUCAUGGGCAAUAUGACCAGAGAGAAGAUUUUUGUCAUGAUUUUAAAUACACUGACAUGCUACUGUUGGUUAAAUUUAAACAUGUUUUACGUGCAGAAAUUCUUUCACAAAUAACCUGCAAUAACUUGAAAUGCAUACCCUUUUGAACACUUCCUUUUCUCAUGUAUAAAUUAAAAUGUUUGCUGCAUUUUGCAAAAUGUCAAUUCUC